rnacentral:rRNA from 1 species
GCCCCCCAGGGGAUUGCCUCAGUAGCGGCGAGUGAGCGGCAAGAGCUCAGAUUAGAAAUCGUGCUUUGCGGCACGAGUUGUAGAUUGCAGGUUGGAGUCUGUGUGGAAGGCGGUGUCCAAGUCCCUUGGAACAGGGCGCCCAGGAGGGUGAGAGCCCCGUGGGAUGCCGGCGGAAGCAGUGAGGCCCUUCUGACGAGUCGAGUUGUUUGGGAAU